rnacentral:lncRNA from 1 species
CUACUUGCUAUUCAUUUCCAAUCAGACUUAUGGUGACAGAAAAUUUCUUUGCUUUAAAUGGGGCAGUCAAAUAUAAAAGUUCACCUACAUCCAGGGAAUUCACUAAAAUGUUAAAAGUAGCCUUAGCAGCCAUAUAAUAGCUAUAAUUAGCUUACAGUAAUGUUUAUUUCCCAAUCCGGUUUGACAUAUUUUUUUGAAUUGGCCAAUCGCAUGCGAGAUUCAAAUUCUGAAC